rnacentral:rRNA from 1 species
UGGGGAAUUUUGCACAAUGGGCGCAAGCCUGAUGCAGCGACGCCGCGUGAGGGAUGAAGGCCUUCGGGUUGUAAACCUUUUUCGCUCAUGGUCAAGCCGCAGCUUUGGGUUGUGGUGAGGGUAGUGGGUAAAGAAGCGCCGGCUAACUACGUGCCAGCAGCCGCGGUAAUACGUAGGGCGCGAGCGUGGUCCGGAAUUAUGGGGCGUAAAGGGCUUGUAGGCGGUUGGCCGCGUCUGCCGUGAAAUCCUCUGGCUUAACUGGGGGCGUGCGGUGGGUACGGGUUGACUUGAGUGCGGUAGGGGGGACUGGAAUUCCUGGUGUAGCGGUGGAAUGCGCAGAUAUCGGGAGGAACACCGGUGGGGAAGGCGGGUCUCUGGGCCGUUACUGACGCUGAGGAGCGAAAGCGUGGGGAGCGAACAGG